GGUGUUGUGGACCAGUGGAUAGGUCUUCGGGCUGUGAAGCACAAGGUACAGGGUUCAAAUCCCUGCCACAUCA
rnacentral:tRNA from 1 species